UACGGGGGGGGCAAGCGUUGUUCGGAAUUACUGGGCGUAAAGGGCUCGUAGGUGGCCAACUAAGUCAGACGUGAAAUCCCUCGGCUUAACCGGGGAACUGCGUCUGAUACUGGUUGGCUUGAGUGCAGGAGAGGAACGCGGAAUUCCAGGUGUAGCGGUGAAAUGCGUAGAUAUCGAGAGGAACACCUGCGGCGAAGGCGGGUUGCUGGGCUGACACUGACGCUGAGGCGCGAAAGCUAGGGGAGCGAACGGG
rnacentral:rRNA from 1 species